GUGAGGAAUAUUGGGCAAUGGGGGAAACCCUGACCCAGCGACGCCGCGUGAGGGAAGAAGGUCUUCGGAUUGUAAACCUCUGUCUUCGGGGACGAUAAUGACGGUACCCGGGGAGGAAGCCACGGCUAACUACGUGCCAGCAGCCGCGGUAAAACGUAGGUGGCAAGCGUUGUCCGGAAUUACUGGGUGUAAAGGGAGCGCAGGUGGGGCUGUAAGUCGAAUGUGAAAUCUAUGGGCUCAACUCAUAAAUUGCGUUCGAUACUAUAGUUCUUGAGUGGAGUAGAGGCAGGCGGAAUUCCCGGUGUAGCGGUGGAAUGCGUAGAUAUCGGGAGGAACACCAGUGGCGAAGGCGGCCUGCUGGGCUUUAACUGACACUGAGGCUCGAAAGCGUGGGUAGCAAACAGGAUUAGAAACCCCGGUAGUCC
rnacentral:rRNA from 1 species